GGCUGCUUAGUCUAGUGGUUAUGCCGCCAGUCAUGAAAUCUGGAGGCCUGGGUUUGAUUCCUGGCGCUGCCA